UUUAAUUAUUUAGUUAAAACAAAUUUAAUAAUUCAUAAAAAUUAAAAUAAUCAAAAUAAUAAUAUUUUUAAAAGGUCUAUAAAAAAGUUUAAUGAUUCAUUUGUUUCACAAAGAUAAAUCACGCACAAAAACUAUUCUUAUUAAAGGUUAUAUCUGGAAAAAUAAAUACGAAGAAAAUUUUUUUUCUAAGUAGUAUCUUUGACGUUUUAGUACUAAUUUAAAGUUAAAUUAAGGUAAAAAAAAUGCAGGGGUUAUUAGGUAGCUAACAAUUUUUUGGUGUUAUUUUUUAACUGAUCACUUGUUUUGAUAUAUCCAAUCUGAUCUUAACAAUUAAAGUAUGUAAAUUAUAUUUUAAUAUAUAUACUAUUCUUUUAAAGAGUUAUGUUGUAUGUACACUUGCGUUAUUUAGACAGCCUUUUAUGUUUUAUUUUUUUUAUUCAAGUAUGACAUCAAGUAUGACAGGACUACUUGACUUGUUUCUCUGCACAGCACAGAAACAAGUCAAGUGCGAUACUAUCAGAGACAUGUUUUGGAUUGAACUCGACAUAUCUAGAUUAAAAAGUAAUAUAUGCCAAGUUUUCUACCACUGCCACAUUUAAGAAGCUUAUAGACCUUGGAUAGUCACCCUCCAAGUGGUUGUAUAACAAUAAAAAUACUCAGUCUUGAUCUGCACAACAGUUGUUCAAUCGGUUAUGUGAUAAACCAAAUUUAUCCGAUCUUGAUGGGAAAAUAUUUUUUAAACAAAAAGAUGACAUUUUUUUUGCUGAGUUUGCUGGAAAUGAAAGUUGUGGAAAAACAGAGCUUAUGCUUAACUCAAUUGUUAACACUAUAAUGCCCAAAGAGUGGAACAAUUUGUGUAUUAAA
rnacentral:misc_RNA from 1 species